rnacentral:lncRNA from 1 species
AGGCCAAGCUAAGGGGUGGGGGAUGCAGGGGGAAGGGAACAGAUCCUCCCUGGUAACUAGAGAAGGGCCAACUCCAACCACAAGAUGGUGAUGCCACUUGUGGGGCCUCAGAUUGGAGAGGACCUAGAUGAGUGACACAGCAGUGUGUGUGUGGGGGCACUGCUCACAGAUAGGAGGGGGGUGUCUUGUUGACUGCCCACCAGUUGGUGUUGGGGGGACUGGGAGGAGGGUGAGCUCUGGUGACGCGCGGCCCUCACGUGACCCGGAGCUGCAGAGCGACGCAGCCCAGGGUGCAGUCGUCACUCGCGUCUGGCUACCAGCUCCCCGCUGCCCUGCGCACGGCGGGCUGGCAACGGGCCCGGGGAAAGCGGAGCAGGUCUGCGGACCAACAAGAGUCGCGGCGGCGCAGCCGGCGGCGAGAAUCCGGAGGAGCAGGAGGAGACGGCAAGGAUAGGCCCAGG